rnacentral:rRNA from 1 species
CCUACGGGAGGCAGCAGUGGGGAAUAUUGCACAAUGGGCGGAAGCCUGAUGCAGCAACGCCGCGUGCGGGAUGACGGCCUUCGGGUUGUAAACCGCUUUCGCCUGUGACGAAGCGUGAGUGACGGUAAUGGGUAAAGAAGCACCGGCUAACUACGUGCCAGCAGCUGCGGUGAUACGUAGGGUGCGAGCGUUGUCCGGAUUUAUUGGGCGUAAAGGGCUCGUAGGUGGUUGAUCGCGUCGGAAGUGUAAUCUUGGGGCUUAACCCUGAGCGUGCUUUCGAUACGGGUUGACUUGAGGAAGGUAGGGGAGAAUGGAAUUCCUGGUGGAGCGGUGGAGUGCGCAGAUAUCAGGAGGAACACCAGUGGCGAAGGCGGUUCUCUGGGCCUUUCCUGACGCUGAGGAGCGAAAGCGUGGGGAGCGAACAGGCUUAGAUACCCUGGUAGUCCACGCUGUAAACGGUGGGUACUAGGUGUGGGGUCCAUUCCACGGGUUCCGUGCCGUAGCUAACGCUUUAAGUACCCCGCCUGGGGAGUACGGCCGCAAGGCU